UACGGAGGGUGCAAGCGUUAAUCGGAAUUACUGGGCGUAAAGGGGACGCAGGCGGGCUUUUAAGUGAGGUGUGAAAUCCCCGGGCUUAACCUGGGAAAAGCAUUUGAGACUGGGAGUCUAGAGUACUUGAGGGAGGGGUAGAAUUCCACGUGUAGCGGUGAAAUGCGUAGAGAUGUGGAGGAAUACCGAAGGCGAAGGCAGCCCCUUGGGAAUGUACUGACGCUCAUGUGCGAAAGCGUGGGGAGCAAACAGG
rnacentral:rRNA from 1 species